AACGAACGCUGGCGGCAUGCCUAACACGUGCAAGUCGAACGAGACCUUCCGGUCUAGUGGCGCACGGGUGCGUACCGCGUGGUAACCUGCCCUAGGUUAGGCAGCCCUCCCCGUAAGGGGUGCUACUACCGGAUAAUGUUUUCGGCCCAAAGAAUUAUCGCCUUGGUAUGGGCCCGUGUUGGAUUUGCUCGUUGGUAGGGUAAAAGCCUACCAAGGCGACGAUCCAUAGCUGGUCUGAGAGGAGGAUCAGUCACACUGGGACUGAGACACGGCCCAGACUCCGACGCGAGGCAGCAGUGGGGAAUAUUGGACGAUGGGCGAAAGCCUGAUCCAGCAAUGCGGCGUGAGUGAGGAAGGCCGUAGUGUUGUAAAGCUCUUUUACCCGGGAUGACAAUGACAGUACCGGGUGAAUAAGCUCCGGCUAACUCCGUG
rnacentral:rRNA from 1 species